ACGCUGAGGAAGCACAGCUACUACUCCAAUAUCCGAGGCAUCAACUACAAGUUGAUGGGUUGUCACUUGAGCAUGGGAGCCUUCAUUCCAAUAUUAUAUCUUUAUAGAUAGAUGCUUUGUGUGAAGGGAUGGCAGAGCCAGGCGGCAUGUUGGAAGAGUGCAGUGGCCGAGAAGGGACGUAAAGAGCAAAGCGACAUGACCGAGAGACAGCAGCAACAAGGACAGCUGAGAGUGAUCCAGCUGCAGUCUCCUCAGGAGAUGUCAGUUAUGGACAAAUAGCUGUCAGGCCACACAAGACGAGAGAGUUUCCAGCAGAGCCAGAGGUCGUCUACUCUUCACUGAGGUAGACCUUCACACCUUCACACCAGUCCAACCACUGAUGUCCAGCUGGCCUGGAACUGGUCCCCAGAGCCCCUCACACCUCAGCACAUCCAUUAAUUAUAUAAAUAAAUUGUUAAAAUCCUG